GACGAACGCUGGCGGCGUGCUUAACACAUGCCAGUCGAACGGAAAGGCCCUGCUUGCAGGGUACUCGAGUGGCGAACGGGUGAGUAACACGUGGGUGAUCUGCCCUGCACUUCGGGAUAAGCCUGGGAAACUGGGUCUAAUACCGGAUAGGAGCCAUUUUUAGUGUGAUGGUUGGAAAGUUUUUUCGGUGUAGGAUGAGCUCGCGGCCUAUCAGCUUGUUGGUGGGGUAAUGGCCUACCAAGGCGGCGACGGGUAGCCGGCCUGAGAGGGUGGACGGCCACAUUGGGACUGAGAUACGGCCCAGACUCCUACGGGAGGCAGCAGUGGGGAAUAUUGCACAAGGGGCGCAAGCCUGAUGCAGCGACGCCGCGUGGGGGAUGACGGCCUUCGGGUUGUAAACUCCUUUCGCUAGGGACGAAGCUUUUUGUGACGGUACCUAGAGAAGAAGCACCGGCUAACUACGUG
rnacentral:rRNA from 1 species